AUACGUAGGGGGCAAGCGUUAUCCGGAUUUACUGGGUGUAAAUGGAGCGUAGGCGGUAAAGCAAGUCUGAAGUGAAAGCUCGGGGCUCAACCCCGGAACUGCUUUGGAAACUGUUUUACUGGAGUGCAGGAGAGGUAAGCGGAAUUCCUAGUGUAGCGGUGAAAUGCGUAGAUAUUAGGAGGAACACCAGAGGCGAAGGCGGCUUACUGGACUGUAACUGACGUUGAGGCUCGAAGGCGUGGGGAGCAAACAGGAUUAGAUACCCUGGUAGUCCACGCGGUAAACGAUGAUCACUAGGUGUCGGCGGCCAUAGGCGGUCGGUGCCGCAGCAAACGCAAUAAGUGAUCCACCUGGGGAGUACGUUCGCAAGAAUGAAACUCAAAUGAAUUGACGGGG
rnacentral:rRNA from 1 species